rnacentral:lncRNA from 15 species
ACCGCAACAAAGGCCGACAUAGAAUUCGCAGAAAAAUAAGGCAACAGAAGACCACUUUGAAGGCAAUGGUAGCGGAGUACAACAGUCUCGUUCCAUACGAGCAAGCGGUGUGCAUGGAUAGCAUUCUGGACACAGAACAUCCCUGGCAUUGGCAAAUUACACAGAGUGGCUCUGCUGAUUUCAGCACAAAGAAAGAAGUCUUCGAUAGGGUCAUGGGUGUUCGAAGGCUUCAAGAAGAGAAGAAGAUCCUUGUGAAAGAAAUGAAGCAGCACUGGGAGUCUCUCAAAGCCCUUGCCAGGGUCUUGUCCGAGUUGUCUCAGCAUCAGAGUGAAGACGCCAUGCAAAGACAUCUCACAGAGAAAGCAACAAAGGGUCACACCUGCCUCAUCCUCAGAAGGCAGUGGGAAAUGAGAGAGCUGCAGCAGCAUACAAGAAAACACUACCUGCAUGUGCUGUCAUCAGCAGAUGACAUAAUGGACACAAUGGACAGUUCAGAUGAGUUCGACAUUAGCUGUGAAGAUUCAGAGUCGGAUGCAAUGUAAAACAGGAAGAUGUGGUGCUCGUGAUCACAGUGCACCGUGUGCGACACAUGGUCACACAGAGCAUGUGGCUUUAAAAAGUAACUAACGUAUGUGCUCAUUGUCAGGAUUAAGUUGGAGAUGACAGUUGUAGUUUUUGUAUUAGGUUGUUGUUAUUUCUGCAUUUGGUUUUGAAAUGUUUCAUCACUUAUAUAAGGUUUGAUUUUUCUACUGGGUUGUGGGAAGUUCCUGGUUAAUGUUGUCUUACAUCUUUACAACACAAACCACUGUCCUUUACUGUCUUAUCUUUGAUUCAUGUUCAGUUCUGCAUCUUUUCAGGGAUUUUCUUUCCAGUUGAUCUUUACUGUUUGAUUAAUAAUUGUUCUUUAAUGUUUAAUUAAACAAAGGCACAAUAAAGCUACAUUUCUGAUUGAGUCCUUGGAUGUUACUACUGUUUUAGGUUAGACUUAUUUUAUCUGAGCAAUUCCCACAUGCUUUCAGAGUACAUGAAUUCAGUAUAUGGCAAGAGGAGAGAUUCAGAGGAAGGACUAGUGAUAUGGGAUUUUCAGCAUCAAGUUUUCAAUAACAUGAACAGUUUUAAUGCAAUUAUAUAGUAACAUCCAACUUUACACAGGUUGAAUGAUUUAGCAAACCACAUUUCAUCGUGAUAUACUGUAUAUCAGAUGAACUAGCCAACGUCAAAACGUAUGUAACAUGUAAAGAAAAGACUCAAAGUAAAAGUAUCUCAAAUUUGUACUUAAUUACAGUACUUGAGUAAAAGCACUUUAUUACAUUCCACCACUGGUGACACAUUGACACAAAGACAUAUGCAAAGCACCCGGUAGAUUCAAAUGACUAUAAUUAGGAUUAUGACCAAAUAAUAUAUAUAUAUAUAUAUUACCGCCCCCCACACAGACACACGGGCAUGGGCCUGCAAUCUACAAGUGCAUGACCAUAAAGUAGAUUUUUUGGAGGAUGUGGUGGCAUAUUAGAGGUUUUGAGAGUGCUGCCUGUUGAAGAAUGCUCUUUAUUAUUAUUUAUGUGGUGCAUCACUUGACUGUAUUCUCCUUUAAAUAUGUGUUAGUGUUAGGCAACAUGGGCCAAGUGAGUGCCCUGCUGUGGGGGUAUGGGAUGUUGGCAUGCCCGUGGCGAGAGGACCAUUGUCUCAUAAUCUGCCUAUAGGUAAAAUAAGGUCUACACUAGCCCAGAUCCCAAAUGAUGAAUGUGAUUAGGAAAAACAUCAAUACCUUGAAGGUUUUUACCAAACAUAUAAGCAAAAAAUCCAAAACCUUG